GUAGUCCACGCCCUAAACGAUGAGUACUAAUUGUCGGGAUACCUAAUUGUCUCGGUGACGAAGCUAACGCAUUAAGUACUCCGCCUGGGGAUUACGGUCGCAAGAUUAAAACUCAAAGGAAUUGACGGGGGCCCGCACAAGCGGUGGAGCAUGUGGUUUAAUUCGAUGCUACGCGAAAAACCUUACCUAGGCUUGACAUCCCGCGCUACCCUGUGAAAGCAGGGGGGUUCCCUUCGGGGGACGCGGUGACAGGUGCUGCAUGGCUGUCGUCAGCUCGUGUUGUGAGAUGUUGGGUUAAG
rnacentral:rRNA from 1 species